GAACUACCCCCUCCGUUCCAAAUUACUCGUCACAGAAAUGGAUGUAUCUAGAACUAAAAUACACCUAGAUACAUCCAUAUCUGCGACAAGUAAUUCGGAACGGAGGGAGUAUAUA
rnacentral:pre_miRNA from 1 species